CUGAAUUUUUGAGUAUUUAUUUUGAGAAAACUGGAUUACUAUAAUUUAUGUUAAAUUGAACACGUUAAACUUAACUAUCAUUAUACUUUGCCUUUGUUGUCUUUAACCAUCCAAUUUCUAUGAGACUUAUUAAAGGUGUCAGCGGUACUAUUCCGUAAUUUUGAUAUAGUACAGCGUUACAAUCUAUUUACAUACCUCCAAGUGUGAUUACUUAAGUGUAACUAAAGUACAAUCACUGAUAAAAAAAUGAAAAAAGUUAAAAAUUAAUUACCUCGACUGCAUUCUUUAAGAGGAGAUCAUCUCGGGGAAUCCAUGGAGAAGAGGAAGCCAAAUUUGAAACCUUUCCGGCCAUCUAAAACCCUGUAUUCAUAUCAGUCACAUAUGUAUACUCUCUUUUUUCAUAUAAGCAAAAGGAUCAGUCUUUUGGUUAUAAUUCCUGUUACUGUUUGCUUUAAUCGUCAACAUCAGCCUAAACUCAUUCCAUCAACAAAAUCAAAAAGACCCCCGAUAAGGGAUAGGCACCACCUCAUCCUCAGCCUCUCUACGCUCAUCUUUCCAACUAUGAUUUUCGGGAUUCGUUGAUCGAUAUUUCCAUCGUCUCCAUCAUCCGAUCAGCCAUCAUAUUAUAGUCUGAAGCCUGUCCGGAUUUUUGGAAGAAGACCGGUUUUCUUUUCGGACAUUAAAGUUUUAUUGUCUAAAUUUCCCCGGUCAUCUUGCAUGUCCGACGGUUAGAUAAUAAGCUUUCUUGAAUGAAAGAAUUAUCACGGUGAAUUGCCGAGUCA